AUUUUCUGAGGUCAAACACAAUUCACAGGGAACCCAAAACCCUCCAUCGUUACAUGCUGGUGCGCUGAAGCUGAGAUCGCCGCAAAACCAACUUUGUUCUCUCCCACAUAAACAAACCAAACACAACAAUAUUCGACUCGAUUCGAUUACGUACGUUGCUGUCGAUAUACAACCAGCACAACAAUGUCAUCCAAACAAAUUGGAAUUGAAUCAGACCUUGUUUCUUUGAGCAUCCUCAUCAAUAAGAGAAUUGUAAGUCACUGUAUUAAUUAGGAACUGUUGAUUAGAUGCAUGAUACAGUGACUUACAAUUCUCUUAUUAAUGAUUUGUGCAAAUCGGAAAAAAGAUCAGAUAUCUUGAGAUCUUAUUGAUGAGAUGCAUGAUAAAGGUGAACCUAUCAAUAUAAUCAAGUCACCUAUAGUUCCUUAAUUAAUAGACUUGAGAAUGCACAACAGGUUUUGAUCAUCUAUUUUCUUAUAUACCUAUUUUCUUUCAAUUUUAGUGGUGGAGUAAGGAGUAACCUGUCAUGUACGGUUUUCAUAUAACUUGUCCUAAAGUUUUACAGAAAUUAAUUAAAUUGCUAAACUUUGUUGGUGCCAUGUCGCAGCGCGCAAUCACCUUACCUUUUAAAUUGAUUAGCUAAAAUUUAAUGCACAAUGCCACUAGAUUGAAUUUGCAUGACUGGUCUACUAUGAUUUAUUUCUUUUUUUCCUUUGUUUCUUGUUUUUUUAUACAGUGAGGAAUAAUUUCAAAACUACACUCAUAUUUUAUUGUCAUCACAGAGUUUCCUCACGUUAUAUUUGCCAAUAUAUUCUUUGUAACUGCUGCAUAGACUGGAACUGUUUUGAAAUGAAAUUGAUGAUUUUUGGAUAAUGACUUUAGGAAUCCGUGUUCAGUUUAUCAUUGUCUGACUUUUACCAUUUGAAAAGCAUAAACAGAAGAGAUAUCAGGAGUGUGGAAUUUUUUUGAAGCUUCAGAUUAUAUUUUCUGGUUUUUCAUUCCUCAGGGGUUGAAACAGGUUGGGGAGUGAGAAAUUGCUCAUUUUGGUGAUCAAACAAGUAUCCAAGUUCUCCUCACUUUCCAUCUUUCAAUCUCUUAGUUUGUUUCUAAGGCAUGCAGUUUUUUUAGUCUUGAAAUCUCAUAUAUGGUGUUCAGUUUGUGGGGAAUGCUGUCAUGUCUAUGCCACUCCUCAAUGAACCAUUGCUCUUCUUUGCUUAAAUACUCUCAUGCCUGCAUUUUGUUUCUUUGAAAACUCUGACAGGUUUACAACAUUGUGGCUAAAGCAAUUGAUGAAUGUUGACCAGUGGCCACCAUAGAUAGUAUGGUAACAUCUUACCUAUGCUUAUUAGAAUAUGAAUCAAAUGUGAACAUUAAUUCUAUUUUAGAAUGCUCAGCCGAACAUGCUUAAUUUGGUUAUCUGUUUUCUUAUUAGUACUGAUAUCUGUUUCCAUACAGUUUGGGUACUUAACUCUUUUGAUAUCAGCAUCUAGAGGUGGAGUUAUUUGUUGCUUGAGAUUCUCUAGUCAAACUUUUCUUUUAUUGGUAAAUUUUAAUGGUUAGUAUUGUUAGAUUUUGUUAGUAGAGAAGAUCGAACUCAUGAUCUUUUUUUCUCUUUCCUUCUCUCUCAAGUACUGUCCACCCAGGAGCUUGAGUCUGGUCCUUGCAAACUACGAAGCUUGCUGAAUUCCUAGGUUGGAUAUUUUGUGUGUCAAUGUAAUUGUCCAAUUUCCAUGUAUAUGGCCAAUGCUACAAUAUGGUUUGGCUUUUGGGAAUCCUUGAAAAGAUUGAAAAGAUUGUUUGGGUAAAAGCUCCUAGUAUCCUGGCUCUUCAA